rnacentral:rRNA from 1 species
UACAGAGGUCUCAAGCGUUGUUCGGAAUCACUGGGCGUAAAGGGUGCGUAGGCCGCACGGUAAGUCAGAGGUGAAAUCCCGGGGCUCAACCCCGGAAUGGCCUCCGAUACUGCCGUGCUCGAGGACUGGAGAGGAGUCUGGAAUUCACAGUGGAGCAGUGAAAUGCGUGGAUAUUGUGAGGAACACUAGUGGCGAAGGCGAGACUCUGGACAGUUCCUGACGCUGAGGCACGAAGGCCAGGGGAGCAAACGGG